CAAAGACUGGUCGUUCUCUUUCCUCUCUCGUCUUUUCUUUUUUUCUUGGAGAGCAGUUCCCUUGUCCUCUGUUAUCCACAGUCUCUCCCUCCACCUUCCACGCAAUGGAGGCUUCCUUCCAUGCCGGAGAGUCUUGAGUCUUUCUUCUCGGUGUUUUUAUUGUGCAUGCAAGCUUCUAAACCUUUCCGGACUAAGCUUCAAAGAGAAAUUUUCUUUCGCUACACGUCUUGGUGGACAAGAUCCAGAAGGUUUUCGCUUUUGUUUAUUGGUAGUCGUUUAGAUUCACUUCGUCGAGCCACUUCCCUUUGCUUGCUAGUGCCUUGACCAUCAUCAUUCCUAGUUCUCUCAUCCUUUGGUACCCAAAGCUAAUAAUUUUGGAUCCUCACUGCCAGCGAAGACCGCCGACAGUUGGUCGCUUUGGACUCUAUUUGAAAAGCGUGAGGUUAUAUCUGUUGGUCCCUUUAGUCUUGGAUAACGGCGACUGUUGAGAUGUGAUGCUUCUCCUGCCAUGACCAGCUAGGUUAGAUUUGGAUGUGAUUGGGCUUGUGUUAGACCUUCAUAUUUUAGUUAGGCCGGGGUUUUCUUUUAAUUGGCUUUUUUAUGUUCUUGUAUUUGGAUUC